GCCACCUGCCCUGCCUGGUGUCCUCUGCUCAGGGCUCACAGCUGCAUCCUCCCCACCCCCUGGGAGCACACAACCCCACCCCGGCCACCCCCUGACAUCCUCAGGCAUAGGGACCUGACCCAGGGCCCAGGGUGGGGUUAGAAAGCUGGGGGUCUGAUUUGCAUGGAUGGACCCUCCCACUCUCAGAGUAUGAAGAGGGGCAGGGAGAGGUUUGGGGAAGCUCUGCUUCAGCUGUGGGCACAGGAGGCAGCACUCGGGACAGUCUCCAGCAUGGCCUGGUCUCUCCUUCUCACUCUGCUGGUUCACUGCACAGGGUCCUGGGCCCAGUCUGUGCUGACGCAGCCGCCCUCAGUGUCUGGGGCGCCCGGACAGAGGGUCACCAUCUCCUGCACUGGGAGCAGCUCCAACAUUGGGGGUUAUUAUGUAUCCUGGUACCAGCAGCUCCCAGGAACGGCCCCCAAACUCCUCAUCUAUGGAAAUAAUAAGCGACCCUCAGGGGUUUCUGACCGAUUCUCUGGCUCCCAGUCUGGUACCUCAGCCUCCCUGGCCAUCACCGGACUCCAGUCUGAGGAUGAGGCUGAUUAUUACUGCCAGUCCUAUGACAGCAGCCUGAGUGCUCACACGGUGCUCCAGGCCCGGGGGAAUCUGAGACAAGAACCCCCUUCCUCCUCUACCAGGAGGGGUGGCAGGGGUAGCCCCAUCUCAGUCAACAUCUGUGACUACUGCUGUGGGUCUGGUGGAGUGGCCCCUGGCGUCUGA